GGCGCGGUGGCCUAAUGGUAAGGCGUAAGUCAAAUCAGGUCCAUCGUAAUUACCCCAUAUCUAACAGAUUAUAGGUCGCUUUCCGGAAUAGGAAGCAUGGCGAAGAUUGUGGGUUCGAGUCCCAUCCGCGUCG